GCCGAAGUGGUGGAAUGGCAGACACGCUAUCUUGAGGGGGUAGUGGGGAAACCCGUGGGGGUUCGAGUCCCCCCUUCGGCACCA
rnacentral:tRNA from 1 species